UCACGAGCCUUGGGGCUCUGGAUCAGUAAGCCUCAGUGUUCCGCCUCGACCGACACUCACCAGAGCGGUGUGUGUGGCUUAUGGUUACCGAACGGAGGUGAAAA
rnacentral:ribozyme from 1 species